UACGUAGGGGGCAAGCGUUGUCCGGAUUUAUUGGGCGUAAAGAGCGUGUAGGCGGCCAGGUAGGUCCGUUGUGAAAACUCGAGGCUCAACCUCGAGACGUCGGCGGAAACCCUCUGGCUAGAGUCCGGAAGAGGAGAGUGGAAUUCCUGGUGUAGCGGUGAAAUGCGCAGAUAUCAGGAAGAACACCCGUGGCGAAGGCGGCUCUCUGGGACGGUACUGACGCUGAGGAGCGAAAGCGUGGGGAGCAAACAGG
rnacentral:rRNA from 1 species